rnacentral:rRNA from 1 species
GUUGAACGCUGGCGGCAUGCCUUACACAUGCAAGUCGAACGGUAACGCGGGGCAACCUGGCGACGAGUGGCGAACGGGUGAGUAAUGUAUCGGAACGUGCCCAGUUGUGGGGGAUAACUGCUCGAAAGAGCAGCUAAUACCGCAUACGACCUGAGGGUGAAAGCGGGGGAUCGCAAGACCUCGCGCAAUUGGAGCGGCCGAUAUCAGAUUAGGUAGUUGGUGGGGUAAAGGCUCACCAAGCCAACGAUCUGUAGCUGGUCUGAGAGGACGACCAGCCACACUGGGACUGAGACACGGCCCAGACUCCUACGGGAGGCAGCAGUGGGGAAUUUUGGACAAUGGACGCAAGUCUGAUCCAGCCAUGCCGCGUGCGGGAAGAAGGCCUUCGGGUUGUAAACCGCUUUUGUCAGGGAAGAAACGCUCUGGGUUAAUACCUCGGGGUAAUGACGGUACCUGAAGAAUAAGCACCGGCUAACUACGUGCCAGCCGCCGCGGUAAGAC